AAGAGAGGAGACGGGGGAGACCAGGCAGCAGACCAGAGGGGGGGCGAGAGAGACCACCAGAAACCAAGGGAAAAGAAAAGAGGAGGCGAUGAGGGAGAUCUGGGGUUCCUCGGACCACCGAGAGAAGAAGGGAAGCAGUCGCCGCCAAGCUCAAGAUCUUCCCCUGUUUUUUUCCUGCUUCCCUUGCUGAACGUCUGCUUCACCUGUAACAUCGUUAGCAACAGCCAAGUUCUUCCCUGAUCCUAAAUUCUUCCUGCUUGAUACGGGGUGGCCUACGGACACCGCCGCCUCAAGACCGACAAGCCCUCCUCGUGGUCCAGUGACACGAGCUCGAGCCCAAGCCCUACGCCAAGAGGUGAAUUCGCUCCUUUCCGCGUAUGCUUUUGAUACCCCUUUGGAUGACUUGCUACUUCAUGCAAAUACCCUAUGUUCAAUCAGGUACAUCGACCAAGAAGCGAGCCAUGGAGACCAAGCCAUUGGAGAGAGAGCUGGAAAUGAUGAAGAUGGAGCUACAGCGCCCAGGCCGGAACAUCCGCCCCCCAGGACCGGAACUUCCGGCCAGAUGCCUUCCAGAUGCCUUCCAGCGCCCUGAGAAAUGGAUCAGGCCGGAACUUCCGCCCCGAGGGACCGGAACUUCCGCUCACCGGAACUUCCGCCCAAGUUCCGCCCAAGUUCCGAAAUUGCGCCAAAACGCCCCUGGAUGUUACUGCAAGGAAAUGGGCAAUUUCCGGAACUAGGCCGGAACUUGGCCGGAACUUCCGCCCCGGUCGGAACUUCCGGCCCGCAAGACCGGAACUUCCGCCUGUGACCGAAACUUCCGCCCAGGAUGACCGGAACUUCCGCCCCAUCGAACUUCAGCACGGCAACACUUUUCAGCGUGUAACUUAUCCCUUCGCCCCCCACCUAUAAAUAACCUUGUUGGCUCAGAUCUGAGAUUAGACUUGAUGUGAAAUUAAACCUGAGCUUAGCUCACCCUUGUGGGAACCCUACCUAGAUCUUUGAUCUUGUACCCACCCGGGCUCCUUAUCGACUCGUGAAGAUCUCUUUGGUGACUUC